rnacentral:autocatalytically_spliced_intron from 1 species
GUAAGCCGUAUGGGCGAAAAGUUCACGUACGGUUUGAUGAAGGGGGGCACUGAUAGUUCUAGAAUAUUUAUAUCUUUAAC